CUACGGGGCGCACCAGUGGGGAAUAUUGCACAAUGGGCGCAAGCCUGAUGCAGCCAUGCCGCGUGUAUGAAGAAGGCCUUCGGGUUGUAAAGUACUUUCAGCGGGGAGGAAGGGAGUAAAGUUAAUACCUUUGCUCAUUGACGUUACCCGCAGAAGAAGCACCGGCUAACUCCGUGCCAGCGAGCCGCGGUAAUACGGAGGGUGCAAGCGUUAAUCGGAAUUACUGGGCGUAAAGCGCACGCAGGCGGUUUGUUAAGUCAGAUGUGAAAUCCCCGGGCUCAACCUGGGAACUGCAUCUGAUACUGGCGAGCUUGAGUCUCGUAGAGGGGGGUAGAAUUCCAGGUGUAGCGGUGAAAUGCGUAGAGAUCUGGAGGAAUACCGGUGGCGAAGGCGGCCCCCUGGACGAAGACUGACGCUCAGGUGCGAAAGCGUGGGGAGCAAACAGGAUUAGAUACCCUUGUAGUC
rnacentral:rRNA from 1 species